AAGUAACAAAUAGCCAGGAUUAUUCUCUUGCUUUUUUCCUUUGCAGAGUUUCUUUAUAAUCAGUAAAAUAUGAAGUUGAUGAAUUUAACUCUUUGUCUCCCAGCAGUCCGGGAAAAAACACGAGAUGAAAGCACUUCCAGAUGGGGAAGCUGCCAAUCUGAUUUAACUAGAAAAAACAAUCAGUACCUCCUUCGUGACCACUACCUGUCCCGCAUGCAUCACCCGGAGAACCUGCAAUUUCCUCACUGAUGGCAGAGGAGCCUGUAGCCCCCGGCCACUGGGAGCAGCUUCCUGCAGCUGGGGGACAGGUGCACAUCGCUGAUGGCUUCUAUUAGCCAGAUUCGGGCCACUGGUCGCAAAGAAAGUGCUGACGUAACUGUCUGGCACUAUAGUUUUCAGCGCUAAUUAGAUAAUUGAAAAUCACAAAUGCAAUGCCAGAUCAGUAUUAUAUGUCAGCUAACAUUUUGGGAACCUCUCCUGCACACAUCUGACCUCUGACACAAGUGAAGGCAUUCCCCAAUUACAUGACUGUGAUAUCACCAGUGAAUAACAUGGUUGUGGGCAAAGUACAUAAAUGAAGCAAUGCAGGAUGGCUGUGCUCUCAUAGAACAGAACUCCCCAUCACUAUAAAUGGAAUGUCAUGGUUGCAUGGCUAUAAACCUAACUGUAACUGAGCUUCCUAUUUCUUUUGGUCCAGUUAUCCCUUUACGCUGUAAUUGAUCCAUCUCUGCUUAUAUCAUACGUCUCUACUUGAAGGAAAAUGACUGAAGCAGCUGCACUAAUGUUGUGUCAUCAUAGCAAACGUUUAUUUUUAAAGUUGCAACACAGCGUCUGUUCAAAGACAAAUUAUUAAGAAAAAGAGAGGUCAGUCACAUGGUUUAAAUGUUUCAUGGUGCCAUUAGGAAGCUAAUGUCAGAAAAUAUUUUUACCAUCUCUCAAUCAUAUAUAUUAGAGGUAGUGUUUGUAGACUCAGGCGUAUGGACUUACAAAAGAGUGAUGUGAUUUAUUUUCUCUAUUGAUUUAAACCAGUUCACAAGAAUCAAUGCAUUGUAGACUUUUUUAAGUGCUGGUUUAGACUUUUUAUUGUUCUUGUAAAGUCUAAUAUGGCAAGAUAUAUUUUUCGAUAUUUACCUAGGUUAACUUCUCCACAAAGUGUUGUUAAAUGAAAAGAAAUUCUGUGACUUAUCACCUACAAGAAAAACAUUAUCAUAGCUCACGUGCAGCAAAAAGACUUCUGUAUUUGUCCAUGUAUUAUACUCGCCCCAUAAUGAUUUAGUAGUGUGUUAACACAAAUCCCCUAAGAAAUAUAAAGUAAAAUAAAUGAUAUUCUUUAACAAGUUGUUAACCUUUUAAAUGAUGUUUCAGCUCUUUGAGUCACACAGAAAGUUUGCAAAUACAAAUAAUAUAGGGGUGUAGUAUGUUAUGCCGAUGUAUGAAGGCUCGUU